rnacentral:rRNA from 1 species
UACGUAGGUGGCGAGCGUUGUCCGGAUUUACUGGGCGUAAAGAGCGCGCGUAGGCGGACCUGCAAGUCGGGGGUGAAAGCCCGAGGCUCAACCUCGGAACUGCCUUCGAUACUGCGGGUCUCGAGUCCGGGAGAGGUGAGUGGAAUUCCUAGUGUAGAGGUGAAAUUCGUAGAUAUUAGGAAGAACACCAGUGGCGAAGGCGGGUCUCUGGGCCGAUACUGACGCUGAGGAGCGAAAGCGUGGGGAGCGAACAGG